rnacentral:rRNA from 1 species
AUUGAACGCUGGCGGCAGGCUUAACACAUGCAAGUCGAGCGGGGUGAUGGUGCUUGCACUAUCACUUAGCGGCGGACGGGUGAGUAAUGCUUAGGAAUCUGCCUAUUAGUGGGGGACAACAUCUCGAAAGGGAUGCUAAUACCGCAUACGUCCUACGGGAGAAAGCAGGGGAUCACUUGUGACCUUGCGCUAAUAGAUGAGCCUAAGUCGGAUUAGCUAGUUGGUGGGGUAAAGGCCUACCAAGGCGACGAUCUGUAGCGGGUCUGAGAGGAUGAUCCGCCACACUGGGACUGAGACACGGCCCAGACUCCUACGGGAGGCAGCAGUGGGGAAUAUUGGACAAUGGGGGGAACCCUGAUCCAGCCAUGCCGCGUGUGUGAAGAAGGCCUUAUGGUUGUAAAGCACUUUAAGCGAGGAGGAGGCUUACCUAGUUAAUACCUGGGAUAAGUGGACGUUACUCGCAGAAUAAGCACCGGCUAACUCUGUGCCAGCCGCCGCCGUAA